rnacentral:lncRNA from 1 species
GGAGUCCGGCUGGGGGUGGCCAUCUGGCGACUCUGAGGACAGAGUCUAUGCUUGGGAUGGCAGAGCCGGAUGCUCAAAGGAGCCUGGAUCCCCAGCACUUCCUCAUGUGGCUCCACCAGCCCUGCCUGCUUCUGGACUUGCUCUAUAAGAAAACGAAACUCCUGUCAGGUUCAGUGGCUGUGGUCGGCUGUGGUCAGGGGCAGCUGAACAGAACUUGAAGUCUCAAAGGUCAUGAAGCCCAUCAGAAAACAGGAGCUCCCUGGCGCCUGCAGCCUCUUGGUCUCAGAUCCAGCUCCUGGGACCUCAGGGCCUGCCCCUUCUCCUGCCUUGCACCCCAAAGCCUGCCUGGGACCCACAGCCCCCUCCCUGCGGCUGCUGGGAGCUGCGAGUGGCACCCACGCACUCUGGGCCUGGUCUUUCGGCCACGACACUCGCCACCUCUGCUGGGCAGUCUCAGCAUGAUUCCGGUGCACGCCGAAGACAAGCACCUCUCUUGAGCUGAGCUGUCUCCCCAGGCAUGAGGGUCAGACCUGCAAGGUGUCAAGUGCAAGCCUCCAUCUCAUGGUUCGUGGUUCCAGGUGAUGACCCUGAGCCCAGCACCCCAGAACACAGAAGCACUUUCAGCCUGCAAAACAGCCAAAAAUCCUGAUGCCCAGGCUAAAACCUAGACCAGAGAAAUCUGAAUCUGUAGGGGUGAGACCCAGGCACGGGCACUUUUAAAAGUUCCCCUAGUGAUUCCAAGGCCAGAGCUGCCUGUCCCCAGGCUGCGUAGGGGAGAAAGAUGCUUCUUCCUGGGGGAAGGUGGUGGGGUGAGGCUAUUAAACACACAACUAGGCCCCACCCCAGAGUUUCCCAUCCAGCAGGUCUUGGGAGGGCCCAAGAAUUUGCACUUCUAUCAAGUUCCCAGGUGGUGCUGGUGCUGCCGGACUGGGAGCCACACUCUGAGAACCCCUGGAGAAGGAAGCAGGAGUGGAG